CUUCUAAUAUUAUGAUAAAAUAAAAAGUUCAAAUUCAAUCAAAAAACUUAAACUAAUAAAUAAAAUAAUCCCUCACAUUAUACUCCACUACAACAGGAUUAGGUUAUAGAAACACAUGUUUGGGACACUUUUUAGUAAGUGUCCCAUUUAUGUUAAAACUUAAAAAAAUAUCUACUUAUGCCGAAAUAUAAAGUCCAAUCCAACUAAAAAUAAAAGAUUACUCUACUAAACCCACACAUCCAGUCCAUUUGACCCGAUUACAAAAAAAAAAAGAAAAAAAAAGAAAAAUCAAUUACCAUUUUUUCUUCUCUAUUCACUCAAUCCACUGAAAUUCUAGACGAAGAGCUUUUCCUAUCGUCCUCCUCCGUUACCGCAGCCAACGAGAUAGAGUUUCGACGGUUGCUAAAUGCUUAAAUAAGUGUUGGUAAAUUAGCAGCACUCUUUUAGGUUGUAGCGACACUCUUUAACUGUCACUAUAUAUCUAGCGACCUCACAUAUAGCAAUACUUUUUAAAAGUGUCGAUAAUUUUAGCUAGCAGCACUUUUUUGACAUGUACCUACAUUUAAAAGUGUCGUUAUAGACCGUUUUUGUUGUAGUGCUCGCGCAAGCAAAUGCACACAUAAUCUUACAAU
rnacentral:lncRNA from 1 species